CCUACGGGAGGCAGCAGUGGGGAAUAUUGGGCAAUGGGCGCAAGCCUGACCCAGCAACGCCGCGGGAAGGAAGAAGGCUUUCGGGUUGUACACUUCUUUUAAGCGGGAAGAGCAGAAGACGGUACCUCUUUAAUCAGCCACGGCUAACUACGUGCCAGCAGCCGCGGUAAUACGUAGGUGGCAAGCGGUGUUCAGAUUUACUGGGUGUAAAGGGCGUGUAGCCGGGCUGACAAGUCCGAUGUGGAAUUCCCGGGGGCAACCCCGGACCUGCAUUUGAAACUGUUGGUCUUGAGUAUCGGAGAGGCAGGCGGAAUUCCUAGUGUAGCGGUGAAAUGCGUAGAUAUUAGGAGGAACACCAGUGGCGAAGGCGGCCUGCUGGACGACAACUGACGGUGAGGCGCGAAAGCGUGGGGAGCAAACAGGAUUAGAUACCCGGGUAGUC
rnacentral:rRNA from 1 species